rnacentral:rRNA from 1 species
GACGAACGCUGGCGGCGUGCCUAAUACAUGCAAGUCGAACGGUCUUUUCUAUGGAAGCUUGCUUCCACUGAGAAGAUAGUGGCGAACGGGUGAGUAACACGUGGGUAACCUGCCCAUAAGAGGGGGAUAACAUCCGGAAACGGGUGCUAAUACCGCAUAGUUUUCUUGAUCGCAUGAUUGAGAAAGGAAGACGGCCUUUGUGCUGUCGCUUAUGGAUGGACCCGCGGCGUAUUAGUUAGUUGGUGAGGUAACGGCUCACCAAGACGAUGAUACGUAGCCGACCUGAGAGGGUGAUCGGCCACAUUGGGACUGAGACACGGCCCAAAACUCCUACGGGAGGCAGCAGUAGGGAAUCUUCCGCAAUGGACGAAAGUCUGACGGAGCAACGCCGCGUGAGUGAAGAAGGUUUUCGGAUCGUAAAACUCUGUUGUCAGAGAAGAACAAGUUGGAGAGUAACUGCUCCAGCCUUGACGGUAUCUGACCAGAAAGCCACGGCUAACUA